ensembl:lncRNA PRDX6-AS1 PRDX6 antisense RNA 1
AUUCUACAGACUGGAUCAUUUAUAAAGACAAGAAAUUUAUUGCUUAUAGUUCUGGAGGCUGGGAAGUCCAAGCACAUGGUGCUGGCAUUUGGUGAAGGCCUUCUUGCUGCAUCCUCACGUGGCAGAGGGCAUCACAUGGCAAGUGGGCAAGAGCAGGCUUGUCCGCUUGGGUUACUCUAACUCUUCUUAUAAAGCCACCAGCCCCACCGUGGGGGCCACACACUCAUGGCCUUAUUUAAUCUUAAUUACCUCUCAAAGGCCCUACCUCCAAAUGUCAUCGAUAUGUGAAUUUGGGAAUUAAGUUUCCAGCACAUGAAAUUUGGGGGUCACAUUCAAACCAUAGCAAUGCUUAACCUUAGAAUACUGCCUGGCAUCUGCCCAGGCUUCCACAGCCACUACCUCUGGGACAUGUUGGGAUCUCUGUUUACAUGUAAGGCUCGCCAUGACCAUUACACAUCUGUGAGUCAGUGUAGGGUCCUGGUGGAAGCCCGGUCUUGGAGUCCCUCCAUUAUGUUUGCUACCCUGGCUCUCCACCUUCAAUUUCUGGCUUCUCAUUUUGGACUAUGAUGAUUUUCUUGUUGUUAAUUUUUUUUUUUUUUUUAGUAUGAAAGUUUUCAAGACGCCUACAAGUGGAAAAUGCACUCCUCCCAGCCAAAUCAAGCUUCGCCAGAUUCCUUACAGCUGUGUGCAGUGAAAUGACUAAUGAAAGAGCCCUCUGCUGCUGGUGGAACUUUCACAUAUGGCACUGUUAUGCCACUCAGCAGGACCCGACCCUGGUAUUUACAUAUUGGAUGUCACCCCAAAAGCCCCUGACCAGGGGGUUUCCGGGAUGUAAUAAGAAUGCCACUCUGGGCUUUGGAAGGUGCACCGUAUGCACACCCAUACUAUAGGGCAGGGGUUAGCAUUUCAGACCCCUGUUCCUCCCUUGACAAGCAAGUGCUUUUCUCCAGGGAAGACGUUCAGGUUCAUUCAUAGAUCCAUUGGUGCCGUGGGCAGCUCAGUAACAAUAGCUCUGCUGCCUACCAGCUGCUGGUGGAGGUGUUGAGAAUACCUAAUGAGGAAGUCAGGGCCCCUGCGUGCUUCAGCAGAGCUGGAUGCCUGGCAUGGCAAUCAAUGGACACAAACCUUUGGAUAAUUUCCGUCCUUGGCGGUGUGUUCUAUAGCAUAGGUAUGAAGUGGGUGCUCUGGGAGCUCAGAAGAGGGGCUCUUCUCUUAACUUAUGGGUGGCCAGGGAAGGCUUCCUGGAGCUCAAAUGACUGAGUGGAGUCUUCAACAUUAAAAAAAAAAAAAAGAAAAAAAAA